CCGCGAGCCUCCUUCCCGCGCUCCCCGCGUCGUUGCGACCCGUCCUCUUACACCUCUUUCCCUUCUGUAUUCCAGCGUGAGUUUUUUUUUUUACUUUACAUUCCGCCACGGUUUUUGAAGCUCCGUGUGAAAAAUCGCUCGCACUCCGAGUCCCGCGGCGCGACGGUGGGCCCCCCCCCCCCCACCCUCGGCUUUAUUCUUUGAGCCGAGGGUCUCGUUUUGUGCACAGCGCGUCGCCGCGAUGCGCUCGCUCGCGCGUCCGUUAGGGUCCCUCUUUAGGGUGUCGUUGAAAACGCCCGACGUUUGUUUUUUUUUUGUUUGUCAGGUCCUGGCAUCGAUUGCCCAACGGGAUGUUGUUUGUCGUCGCGCGUGGACUUUUUUUGCUUGCAUUCGAUUGAGAUGCCUUGAGUGGUUUUCGAACGGCAGUUGCAGUCGAUGUAAUGAAGUCCUCACGUGUGGGUUAUUUUCUUAAACUGAACCGACGGAAACUCACGUCCGUAAUCAUUUACAAGCGCGCGUCAAUCCACUGCUGAGUGGAGGCCUGCCCAUGAUGCCACGUCUGCCGCGGGGAUUGUUUGACCGUACUUCGCCGCCUGCGUCCGUGUGGAUGGUCAGUGCAGAGUUGGCCUACACAACGGACUUCGCGAUUCACCUUCCAUCCACUCGCGGCGGUGGCGGUGGCGGGUGAGGCCCAGAGCGGAGGGUUACCCGUCGGUGUUUGCAGAAUCUCGCGAAUGGGAAAGGCCGCAGCUGCUUCGAGCGGCACGGUGGUUUGCAAGUGUUGAUGUCUGCGGCGCAGAGAAUAAACAGCCCGGGGCCCAGCGUGAGUCGUUGUUUUGACAUGCCUUGAAUAAUUAACUGUAAACUGACCUCAAAUAUAACACCACAAAAAAAUGUUAUACACGCACACAACUUGCCAAUUUCAGAUUUUUUUUUUACUAAUUAAAAUGUUUGGCCUCUUUUUUUUUGCUUUCUUGAAGUUCACAUUCAUCUUAAUAAUUACCCAUGUCAACAGUUCAUGUAUUUUCUUUUAAAUGUGCUAAAUUUUCAUUUUGAGAGCAUUUACGUUUAUGUAAAUAAUGCCUUCUGUAGGGGCGCUUCCAACAGAGCCUGGGACGAGAGCAUUACUCAACACCACUACAUCAAAUAUAAUAUUUAAAAGUAUAUAUUUUCAAUAGAUACAUAUGCGGGGUAAUGAUCAACACGCCGGGCUUGCAAUCCGGAGGCUGCCGGUUCGAUUCCAUCUUCCGGCAUAGCAGUUUAAAAAAACAGGGAAGUUAAAUCACCCGAGCAAGCAGUACACAUGGGUUCACCGCAGUUAAUCGACCAGCUGGUCACGAGCGGUGGGGCAAAGUGUGGGGACGCCCACCCCUUCCACAGUGUUGGAUCAACGUGGAGGUGUAGGCCAAAUACCCUCUCAGAGUUCCCUCCGGUGGAGCACCCUUCCGCCGGCAGUGGCGUGAGCGAGCAAUUGGAGGUCCUCACCUUUACCUUUUUAUAUAUAAACAACUUCAUUUAUUGCUAAAUAAUAUCACGUACAAUUAGACGAUAGAGCAAAGCGGUGGCAUCGUGGUUUGCGCGCUGACCUUUGAACCUGAGAGUUGAGCUCAAAAACAGAGGACACUUGACCGAAGCACAUGGAACUACAUUUGAAAGGUGCACACGGCAGACGCAUGCUGGGGAUUUGUACUGAAGAGACGGACAGAGGAUUACUCGGAACAGAGAACAAACAUAAAUUUAGAAACGAAAGAGGCGCGCACAAGAAAAGCACCACGUACGCUGGGAACCACCACAGAUUAGAGACGUCGUAUUCACUGUUCGGGAAAGCAAGUGGGAUCAGGCAGGACACUUAGGAGGGAUGUUAGCCGAUGGUCAAGAAUGCUGAUGGAACGGCAGCCAAAGGAGAGAGGCCGCGUUGAUUUCAGGGCACGAGCGGCGGCCACAGGGAGAGGACGACCGGCGCGGAGACGGAGCGAGGAGCCCGGCUCGGCACGCGGCAGCUCGGCGGGGCUGCGGCACCGCUGGCGCCCGCGAGGUGAUGCCCACGACCACGGGGAUGCCUACGUCGUCCAGCAGCAGGUAGAAAAAAAAGUCAAGUCGGCGGCGACGAGAAAACAUCGAGACGACGGGGCCUGCCGUCCUGAACGCCGCUCGGCGAGCGGAUGGGGGAGGGGAGAGACGAACGCUCCCCCCGGUGUCCCGCGCAACACCUCCGCUCCAUCACCUGCACUGUAUUUGUCGUCCCCAUCGGUCACGCGGUGCAUGAACCUGCCGCGCGGUAAUUUUUUUUCUUCUUCCCCCCCCCCCACACCCGGCCGAUCCUCCUCCUCCUCCUCCUGCCGUGUCGUGACAAGAGCGGCGCGCGGGGGCGUGACGCCGCUGUAAUGCGGCUGUCGGAAUCGAGCGCCAUCCUCCCCGUCACCGUCCCGUUCGCCUCUCAUUCCCCGCCGCUCAGCCGCGACUGUGCGUAAUGGGGUUCCCGCACUCUCGCCCCCCCUCCCCCCCUCUCCCUCUCAAGAGUCCUGAUGCGCAUUAACGUCGGGAGAGAUUCCGCCGAACAUGCAGCGCGCGUGACUUACGCCGGCCUCCCCCUCCCGCCCCACCUCUCCGCUGAAAAAUGAGCGAGGUUCACCUGGGUGUGGAAAUUGGAGUAAAGGGGAAAGUAGGAAGGGGGGGGGUGGAGAAAGUCAGUUUCGCUGCUCGGUUCGUUGGCUUCCGAGCGUUUAGCGCGCAGGCGACGCGGCGGCGGCGGUGCCGCGUCGGAUUUGAGGAGCGGCGAGAUCGCCGUGCGAGCGGAUCGCUCGGACGCAGCAAAGACGCGCGGCAGGCAUUACGCGUUACGGCCGACGCGAACUGCGUCUGGGGAGUGUUAGUUGGCGUGUGAAAUUGGACGUGACGGGAGAAAGCGAGAGCCGCUAAAUGUUGCAGAAUCUAACGAGCGAGGAGCGAAAAGGGCCCUACCCCCUUACCCCCUCCCCCGAUCCCCCCUGAUCCCCCCUGAUCCCCCAGCCCCUUCAACCCCCAACGCCGUCCCAGACGGUAAACUAAGAGCUCUUUCAACACCAUCACCUUCCGGCCACGUCAAAGCAGAAGACGUCGGCGCGCGUGCCGAUCGGCAAGGGCUUAAAUCAUUCGUUUCAUUUAACAAAAUUUUUAUAAAUCAAUUAAAAUGAGAUCAGUUGGUGUUAAAUUGAGUUGGCGGGGGGGGGGUAUUUGUUGCCCCAAACACAUUGGGUGAGUAAAUCCAAGGUCCCUUUUUUGCCCUCGACUCCCACGCCUAUCAACGCUUAACGUUUAAGACGAUAAUUGAAAGGUGCAGAGUGUAUAGCUGGGUGCAGAGGUGCAGUGGGGAGAUGGGGGGGGGGAAAGGAGCGAUUGCCCCAACAUUUUCUGCGAUGAAGAAGAGGCCCAUUGCUUGAAACGUCAACAACCGUAUAUAAUUUUCCCACAUUUAUCCGCAGCGUCAGCGACGAACGCGUUUGCCUUGUCGCCGCACGUCUUCGACAACGUUUGGAGAUUUUUGUUUUGUUUCAGUGUGAAAAAAUAAACAAAAAAAUCGAGAAUGGUCGGGCGUUCGUGACGUCUAUUUCAUUCUGCGCACGCUCACUGUCGCACAAUGCACACAUGCAUGUUGGACUUAUUUCGCACCGUACGUAGCCAAGGAACGGAGAGUCUGAAUUUUGAAUCCCCUUUGGAAGGGAAACAAUUUU